UGUUAAGCCUAUCUUCUAAAGCGAGGUUAA
rnacentral:piRNA from 1 species